rnacentral:rRNA from 1 species
UACAGAGGGUGCGAGCGUUAAUCGGAAUUACUGGGCGUAAAGCGCACGUAGUCGGCUUUGCAAGUCGGGUGUGAAAUCCCCGGGCUCAACCCGGGAACUGCGUCCGAUACUGGAAGGCUUGAAUCCGGGAGAGGGAUGCGGAAUUCCAGGUGUAGCGGUGAAAUGCGUAGAUAUCUGGAGGAACACCGGUGGCGAAGGCGGCAUCCUGGACCGGCAUUGACGCUGAGGCGCGAAAGCCAGGGGAGCAAAGC